rnacentral:rRNA from 1 species
AUGGCAAACACCACGGCCAACGCUCGCGAGAUCCGGCGCUUGCAACGUGCUGAUGGACCCGCGGCCAUGCUGGCCAUCGGCACGGCAAACCCACCAAACUGCGUGUCCCAGGACGAGUACCCCGAGUACUACUUCCGUGUCAGCAAGAGCGAGCACCUUGCGGAGAAGCUGACUGACACACUCAAGAUAAUAUGCGCGCUAACGGGGAAUGAGAGGCGUUUCACUUACAACACGGAGAAAAUGUUGAGCGCCCACCCCGAGUUCCUCGACCGCGCAUUGCCGUCCCUCGAACAACGCCUCGCCAUCGUUGCAGCCGCCGCUCCAGAGCUCCUUGCGGCAGCCGCGACCAAGGCCAUCGCCAUUUGGGGGCGUCCAGCCACCGACAUCACCCACCUAAUCGUCGUCACCAACUCCGGAGCGGGAGCCCCAAGCGCUGACGUCCACUUGGCUACUCUUUUGGGCCUCCACCACAACGUCCGCCGCACGGUUCUCCACCUCAACGGCUGCUUCGCUGGCUGCUCUGCUCUCCGCCUGGCAAAGGACCUUGCCGAGAACAACCGCGGUGCGCGCGUCCUUGUGGCCUGCGUCGAGCUCAUGAGUGUCGCCGGCUUCCGUGGCCCCGACCUAAGUGAAGACAGCGUCAACAACCUCAUCAGGAACACAGUGUUCGGUGAUGGCGCCGGCGCGGUGAUCGUCGGUGCCGACCCCGUGGAGCCCGUGGAGCGCCCGCUCUUUGAGAUGGUGUCCGCAUCACAGACCGUGGUACCCAACACCUUGCAACUGCUGUCAAUGGAGCUCAAGACCUACGGCCUCGAUGGAAAUGUUUCCACCAAACUGCCAAAACUGGUGGCAGACAGCAUCAAGCAGUGUCUACUUGAUUCGUUCGGUCCGCUUGGCAUCGAGGUCAAAUGGAAUGACCUCUUCUGGGCAGUGCACCCUGGUGCUAUUGCCAUCUUGGACAAGAUUGACAGGGUUCUCCUGCUGGAGCCCGGGAAGCUGAUGGCCAGCGCGAGAAUAUGGAAACAUGCUUAG